rnacentral:rRNA from 1 species
GCAGCAGGCACGCAAAUUACCCACUCCCGGCACGGGGAGGUAGUGACAAAAAAUAACGAUACGGGACUCUAUUGAGGCCCCGUAAUCGGAAUGAGUACACUUUAAAUCCUUUAACAAGGAUCCAUUGGAGGGCAAGUCUGGUGCCAGCAGCCGCGGUAAUUCCAGCUCCAAUAGCGUAUAUUAAAGUUGUUGCGGUUAAAAAGCUCGUAGUUGGUUCUGCGUGCCACGCUGUCGGUUCGCCGCCUGUCGGUGUAACUGGCAUGUCGUGGCAUGUCCUGUCGGUGGUGAACGGAAUCCCUGGUACGACGUAGGCUUUAUAGCUGAAAUCUGUACCGUGUGUGAUUCCGUUUGCCGAUCUCUCCUACUCCGGUGCUCUUAAACGAGUGUCGAGGUAGGCCGACACGUUCACUUUGAACAAAUUAGAGUGCUUAAAGCAGGCUAAAAUAUCUGCCUGAAUAGUGGUGCAUGGAAUGAUAAAACAGGACCUCAGUUCUAUUUUGUUGGUUUUAGGAAUAUGAGGUAAUGAUCAAUGUGGACUGGCGGGGGCAUUCGUAUUGCGACGUAGAGGGAAAUUCUUGGAUCGUCGCAAGACGCACUAGAGCGAAAGCAUUUGCCAAGUAUGUCUUAAUUGAUCAAGAACGAAAGUUAGAGGUUCGAAGGCGAUCAGAUACCGCCCUAGUUCUAACCAUAAACGAUGCCAGCCAGCGAUCCGCCGAUGUUCCUUUAAUGACUCGGCGGGGAGCUUCUACUCGGGAAACCAAAGCUUUUGGGUUCCGGGGGAAGUAUGGUUGCAAAGCUGAAACUUAAAGGAAUUGACGGAAGGGCACCACCAGGAGUGGAGCCUGCGGCUUAAUUUGACUCAACACGGGAAACCUCACCAGGCCAGGACAUUGGAAGGAUUGACAGAUUGAUAGCUCUUUCUUGAUUCAGUGGGUAGUGGUGCAUGGCCGUUC